rnacentral:rRNA from 1 species
UACGUAGGGGGCAAGCGUUGUCCGGAAUCAUUGGGCGUAAAGAGCGUGUAGGCGGCCCGAUAAGUCCGCUGUGAAAGUCCAGGGCUCAACCCUGGGAUGCCGGUGGAUACUGUCGGGCUCGAGUCCGGAAGAGGAGUGUGGAAUUCCUGGUGUAGCGGUGAAAUGCGCAGAUAUCAGGAGGAACACCAAUGGCGAAGGCAGCACUCUGGGACGUGACUGACGGCUGAGACGCGAAAGCGUGGGGAGCAAACAGG